GAGGGUAUAGCUCUAUGGCAGAGUGCAUGCUUAGCACACACAAGAUCCUGGGUUCAAUUCCCAGCACCUUUA
rnacentral:tRNA from 1 species